GCCAAGAACAGAGAAGCUUUGAUGCAGAGAGAUCUCAGAGACAGAAUUGGGGAAAGCUAGGGGAAGAAGAAAGAUUUGAAAGUGCUGAUGUCCUCAAAUCAAAGUUCCACACCCUUCACUUUAGCCUUGCCAAUCCAACUCACAUGAAUUGCUGCAGACCUUGUUUGCAUCAUGUUUCUUCCUUUAUGGUCUAGUGUUGGAUAUAUACAACUUAAGCAGUCAUUUAUUUGUGUCUCAAGACUUAUUCAGAGCUGCGGACAUCCCCACCUUCUGUUUGCAGAUAUGCCACAUCUUCACCUUGGAAUAGUUAUGAUUGGAAAAGGAUCCAUGGGAAUGUGCUUCAGCAUUGGAAGACUCCAUAGUUGUGAACUCAUACCUACUGCAAUCAGAGACAGAUUUUGUGUGAGGGAAGCAACAAGAAAUGUCCUCUUGGAAAACACUGAGUGCUAAGAAGGCCCCAUGAAUGAUUUUACUGAUAAAAAGAAAGAAGAGGUUUUUAAAACACCAGCCAAGCCAAUUUCUCUCCCUCACUAUAAUACAGAGUUGAACUUUAAAACUUGAAUAGAAUCAUUGUUAUCUUUUUAUUUUAACAUUUGGUAGGACAAUUUCUGAAACCAGGAAAGCUAGUUUCCAAAUUAUACACAGGCCUGCAUUAAUUGCUAUAUCACAAGAAACUCCAAAAAUCCUUCAGGAAUGUCAUUUACACAUAUGUCCAAUAAUGAUGUGUAUUUCCUGAUGGCUUUCAGAAUGAAUAUUAGGAUUCUAUGGAAAAUAGUUAACAUAAAAUUGAUUAGUGAACUAGAACUUUCAAAUAAAUUUUAAUAUAAAUAUAACAAGAAAAGUGAACAAACUAUAAGUACACAUCUUCAAAUUUUCAUAAAAUAAACACACCCAUGUAACCAAUGCCCAAAUUAAGAGCUAUUACCAGAACUCCUCAGUCUCACCUCAUUUUUCACCCAGUCACACUCCUCAUUCAAAGAAACCACUACUGGAUUGCUAAAGCUAUCACUUAGUUUUGCUUG